rnacentral:rRNA from 1 species
GACGAACGCUGGCGGCGUGCUUAACACAUGCAAGUCGAACGGAAAGGCCCUGCUUUUGUGGGGUGCUCGAGUGGCGAACGGGUGUGUAACAUGUGAGUAUCCUGCCCUUUACUUUGGGAUAAAUUCAGGAAACUGGGGCUACCACCGGAUAGGAGCUCCUGAUGCAUGGUGGGGGUUGGAAAGUUUCGGCGGUUGGGGAUGGACUCGCGGCUUAUCAGCUUGUUGGUGGGGUAGUGGCUUACCUAGGCUUUGACGGGUAGCCGGCCUGGGAGGGUGACCGGCCACGUUAGGACUGAGAUACGGCCCAGACUCCAACGGGAGGCAGCAGUGGAGAAGAUUGCACAAUGGACGGAAGCCUAAUGCAGCAACGCCGCGUGCGGGAUGACGGCCUUCGGUUUGUAAACCGCUUUCGCCUGUGACGAAGCGUGAGUGACGGUAAUGGGUAAAGAAGCACCGGCUAACUACGUG